UGGGGAAUAUUGGACAAUGGGCGCAAGCCUGAUCCAGCCAUGCCGCGUGAGUGAUGAAGGCCCUAGGGUUGUAAAGCUCUUUUGUGCGGGAAGAUAAUGACUGUACCGCAAGAAUAAGCCCCGGCUAACUUCGUGCCAGCAGCCGCGGUAAAACGUAGGAGACAAGCGUUAUCCGGAGUUACUGGGCGUAAAGGGCGUGCAGGUGGCGUCUUAAGUCUGUUGUGAAAGCGCCUGGCUUAACCGGGCGAGGCCAAUGGAGACUGAGAGGCUGGAGGACGGCGGAGGGGUGUGGAAUUCCGGGUGUAGUGGUGAAAUGCGUAGAGAUCCGGAGGAACACCAGAGGCGAAGGCGGCACUCUAAGCCGUACCUGACACUGAGACGCGACAGCACGGGGAGCAAACG
rnacentral:rRNA from 1 species